GGACGGGUGGAGCAAGGAAAAGAGAUGAGGCUGAGAACAGAGGGUCUAUUCCAGCUCGACGUCUGGGAGCAGCGCCCUGGACACAGACACAGCUGCUGUGAGAGCUCCAGUGCAGAUGCUUGCUGGAAGGGGUCACAGCUGGAACAGCUGUGCAGGUGGAACAUGUACAGUCACUCAGACUGACCUGCUGUCCUUCUGUACCUGAUGAAUCUUCCAAUGUGUCAUCUCUGCUAGAGCAUAUGAAAAAGCAGGAUAAAUAUCUCUUCCUGGGAACUAAGAAUUAAUUACCAACCUGCUGUGCUCACCUUGUGACACCAACCUGCUGACCAUGAACCUGCUGUGCCAGCCAUUCUUUCAGAGGCUGCACUUCUUUACAGGCCGAGGAAGAGGGAGCUGGGUUAAUGACUUCGGAACCCCUUUUGAGAUCAAAGUCGCGGCAGAUAUGUUCUCUCAUCAAAAACGUUCAAAGACCAGAAGAGAAUACUCCAGAUUCGGUUCCUCCUAGACACCAACCCAGUCCGCAAACCUCAGUUGGUGAUGCUCAGGCUUCUUUUGCUGAUAUUUGUAAACGAAAUCCUAACCCUGGACAAAGCUGGGCACCGGUACAAGGAAGUCGCUGUCCCAUCAGGGCUUCCUCUGCGCCCGUGGGAAGCGGGUCGGAGCGCAGCUAUGGAACCAGCAAGCAAGGAAGGACCCUGGCUCGCUUCUUACAUCUGACCCAUUCGCGAAUCUGCUUUUUCCACCUAAAUCCCUGAGACUGCUUCCCCCAUUGCCAUUGGUCUAGAAGGGACCAAAUGACUCGAGUGGGGGAGGCUUUCCUCACCCUCCCCCCACCCCAACCCGAUGCUCCCAAGACCCGCGCAACUUGCGGAUCAGUUCUAGACAGCUGGGAGGAGCCACACGGCCCAUCUCGCCCCUUCCCGGUGCGCCAGCCACUCACAAGCUCCGAGAUGAAAUGCAGUGCAGGGCAGGUGAUUAAGGCUUUGAUGCCACUGGACUGAGGGCUGUCACUCAUGCUGGCCUUGGGACAGGACUCCAGCGGCUCUGGCUUUGUGCUGAAGCCUCCUUUGCUCGGCAGAGUCCAGUGGCCCGCGGGCCCCGGCAGGCCAGAGACCCAGGAGGGAGGAG
rnacentral:lncRNA from 1 species